rnacentral:tRNA from 1 species
AAGGAGUUAGUUAAACUAAUAACGUUAGCUUGUCGUGCUUAAAUUAAUAAAUAUUAUUACUCCUUA